CCAACCACCAUGGCUCUCCCUGGGGUGGCCAUUACAAUGCAUUCAUUAAACCAUAUGGAGACAAAUGCUGGUGGCUUUUUGAUGACUCGCAUGUCAGAAAGAUGGAGGAAUGGAAGGGAGAGCACCUGAAGUAUGUUCUUUCUUUAAUUAUUUUAACCUAUAUUUAUUCCAGCUCUUCUCUCCCAAUGUGGUAUGCCCAAUCAAAUUCAUAAGUCCCGCCUAUCUUUGCACUGUCCACCACCUCAGGAACAAGAGGACUGGCACAUGAUCACCUAUAAGCAGUC